UGCGUGCCCCAGGCUGAGGUAGUAGGUUGUAUGGUUUAGAAUAACACCCGCAGGAGAUAACUGUACAGCCUCCUAGCUUUCCCUGGGGCGCUGCUUAG
ensembl:miRNA